UAAUACGGGGGGUGCGAGCGUUGUCCGGAAUCACUGGGCGUAAAGGGCGCGUAGGUGGCUUGGUAAGCGUGUGGUGAAAGCCCGGGGCUCAACCCCGGGUCUGCCAUGCGAACUGCUAUGGCUUGAGCACUGUAGAGGCAGGUAGAAUUCCGGGUGUAGCGGUGGAAUGCGUAGAGAUCCGGAAGAAUACCGGUGGCGAAGG
rnacentral:rRNA from 1 species